GAUGAACGCUGGCGGCGUGCCUAAUACAUGCAAGUCGAGCGAACAGAUGAGGAGUUUGCUCCUCUGACGUUAGCGGCGGACGGGUGAGUAACACGUGGAUAACCUACCUAUAAGACUGGGAUAACUUCGGGAAACCGGAUCUAAUACCGGAUAAUAUCUUGAACCGAAUGGUUCAAUAGUGAAAGACGGUUUUGCUGUCACUUAUAGAUGGAUCCGCGCCGCAUUAGCUAGUUGGUAAGGUAACGGCUUACCAAGGCAACGAUGCGUAGCCGACCUGAGGGGUGGAUCGGCGACACAGGAACUGAAACACGGUCCAGACUACUACGGGAGGGAGCAGUAUCGUAUCUUCCGCAAUGGGCGAAAGCCUCACGGAGCACCGCCGCGUCAGAGGCAGAGGUCUUCCGAUCGUAAUACUCUGCUAUUAGGUCAAAACAAAUGUGUAAGUUACUAUACACGUCUUGACGGUACCUGAUCAGAAAGCCACGGCUAACUACGUG
rnacentral:rRNA from 1 species